rnacentral:rRNA from 1 species
UACGUAGGUGGCAAGCGUUGUCCGGAAUUAUUGGGCGUAAAGCGCGCGCAGGCGGUCCUUUAAGUCUGAUGUGAAAGCCCACGGCUCAACCGUGGAGGGUCAUUGGAAACUGGGGGGACUUGAGUGCAGGAGAAAAGAGUGGGAAUUCCACGUGUAGCGGUGAAAUGGCGUAGAGAUCGGGAGGAACACCAGCAGCGAAGGCGGCGACCUGGAUAGGAACUGACACUCAACUGCGAAAGCGUGGGGAGCAAACAGG